rnacentral:sRNA from 1 species
AUGAGUUGGCAGUGAUAUAUUCAACAUCCAUCCUCAAUCUCAACUGGGUUUCCUGGUUUGAGAUUGAAUGAAUGCUUUGAGAAAUGCAGAACUAUGAAGUCCUUCUUGUCCAUAUACUCCUAGCCCUGCUGCCCCUCACCAAUUAAUCCUCCAUGGCUGCAAGCAUUGAAAAUUACUCAAGAGCGGUGCAAUUUCAUACUCAUCAAUCAACUUCCCAAAGAAUUUCAGCCUCUCAAACUGAUAUCUACACCUCUGUAGCUACUGUUUUCUUUGCGAUAAGGUACAACCACAUAUAGUUAUCAUCCUUUCAAACUUGCCAAAACCAAAAAACAUGUUGCUCAUCCCAUUAUCAUCACACAUCACCUUUGCAAUACAAUCUUCCAAAGAAAGAAUGUUUUCCAAUAUUUCUUUCAACAUACUCAGCUAGAUUAUGGAACCAUUUUGUAUGUAGAAGCCUCUAUUUCCAAUAGAUUACAGAAUCAAAAAAUAGCCUUUUAUAAAGUUGUACACACACCCUCAUGCCGGUUAUAACAAUUUCUUGCGGGAUUACCCUUCGUGGGAUUUACUGUCAUCAACUUCAUUUAACAUUGGCAUCGGUCUUUAAGACAAAAAAUUAACAAACUAUAGUGUGGAAUCAGCCUUAAUUAUAGUACCACAGGAUCGCCCAUUGUGGAUUUUACCAAAACACAACUACUCUUAACAAUGGCAUCGGCCUUCACAAUUUCAACA